UACGUAGGGUGCAAGCGUUAUCCGGAAUUAUUGGGCGUAAAGAGCUCGUAGGCGGUUUGUCGCGUCGGCUGUGAAAACUCGGGGCUCAACCCCGAGCCUGCAGUCGAUACGGGCAAACUAGAGUGCUGUAGGGGAGACGGGAAUUCCUGGUGUAGCGGUGAAAUGCGCAGAUAUCAGGAGGAACACCGGUGGCGAAGGCGGGUCUCUGGGCAGUAACUGACGCUGAGGAGCGAAAGCGUGGGGAGCGAACAGG
rnacentral:rRNA from 1 species